AAUAUGUAUAGGUUAUUUUGAGGCAACGAGGGGAUAUGUGAUUUAUUCACCGAGGCGCGCAGCGCUGAGGUGAAUAAACACAUAUCCCCGAGGUGCCUCAAAAUAACGUACUUAUUUUUCACACUGCGAGGUCGCGUUAAUGAGUCAGAAAAGAAAUAAUUCUCAAUGCCAUAUUGCUUUUGCGAUGUUGUUUUUUCUCAUUUUUUGUGCUGCAAAGACAUUGCAGGUGAAUAUUAGAGGGGAUUAUUAAUUGCAGGUGAAUAUUAGAGGGGAUUAUUAAACGGAAACUGAUUAGAGGGGAAUAUUGAAUAUAUUCCCCGACAAGAACAAAGGAAACCGAGCAGGGUG